AUUGAACGCUGGCGGCAGGCCUAACACAUGCAAGUCGAACGAGUGGCGGACGGGUGAGUAAUGUCUGGGAAACUGCACGAUGGAGGGGGAAAACUACUGGAAACGGUAGCUAAUACCGCAUACCAUCGGAUGUGCCCAGAUGGGAUUAGCUAGUCGGUGGGGUAACGGCGCACCUAGGCGACGACCCCUAGCUGGUGUGAGAGGAUGACCAGCCACAUGGGAACGUAGACACGGUCCAGACGCCUACGGGAGGCAGCAGUGGGGAAUAUUGCCCAAUGGGCGCAAGCCUGAUGCAGCCAUGCCGCGUGUAUGAAGAAGGCCUUCGGGUUGUAAAGUACUUUCAGCGAGGAGGCGUUACUCGCAGAAGAAGCACCGGCUAACUCCGUGCCAGCAGCCGCGGUAAUUC
rnacentral:rRNA from 1 species